AGUAACACGUGGAUAACCUACCUAUAAGACUGGGAUAACUUCGGGAAACCGGAGCUGAUACCGGAUAAUAUUUUGAACCGCAUGGUUCAAAAGUGAAAGACGGUCUUGCUGUCACUUAUAGAUGGAUCCGCGCUGCAUUAGCUAGUUGGUAAGGUAACGGCUUACCAAGGCAACGAUGCAUAGCCGACCUGAGAGGGUGAUCGGCCACACUGGAACUGAGACACGGUCCAG
rnacentral:rRNA from 1 species